rnacentral:rRNA from 1 species
UCUGUCCGAGCGUCUGCCAACCAUAAGUCCUUGCUUGGUGCGGGGAGAUUGGGGAACUGCGGCGUUUCAGUAUACUGCACUCCCUGAAGAUUCCACAACCGGUACGGUUGCCUGCCGUGCGAAUCGGUCGGUGACAACGGUGCACAGUGUUGUCCCGUCGUGCUCGUANGUGUGGACCGCCAGGCGGUUGGGUGCGAUCAGGUCGUMCUAGCCAAUCUGGACCUCGGAUCAGGCCAGGCUACCCGCUGAAUUUAAGCAUAUCAAUAAGCGGAGGAAAAGAAACUAACUAGUAUUCCCCUAGUAACGGCGAGCGAAGCGGGAACAGCUCAAAUUUGAAAUCUCCGGUGCCUGCACCGGCGAAUUGUAGUCUAUAGGGCCAGUUUCGCCAGACGCGGUGUCCCCAAAGUCGUCCUGGAAAGGCGGGCCAGAGAGGGUGAGAGCCCCGUGUGCGGGGGCACUGCGGAAGGUAAGAUCUGUGCCCAAAGAGUCGGGUUGUUUGGGAUUGCAGCCCAAAAUGGGUGGUAAACUCCAUCUAAAGCUAAAUACUGGCACGAGACCG